rnacentral:ncRNA from 1 species
UUCAAAGCAAUGAGAGGAAAUAGUAACAGGUAUUUGUUCUAAAGAGAGCCGGUGGCGGGUGUGAACCGGUGAAUGAAGCUUGUGAAUCCAUCCUCGAGUAAUGUACGGAACACUCCAAUAAGGGGUCAGUAAGUACUUUCGGGUAAAAACCGUUAAUUUUUUCAAGGUGGGCAGACUUUUAUUGCCAACCAGGGUGGUAACGCGGGUAACUCUCGUCCCUGUU